rnacentral:lncRNA from 1 species
GUACUGUACCUGCACUUUGACAUUUGUAUAAAAAAAUGCUCCUUGUGCUGCUGGUCUCACCAGUCAUCUUUCCUCAACAGUAGAUGUCUGGUCUCACCAGUCAUCUUUCCUCAACAGUAGAUGUCUGGUCUCACCAGUCAUCUUUCCUCAACAGUAGAUGUCUGGUCUCACUAGGAUCACCUGUGGGAGAUGUGGUCAGACUGCUAACUGACUGUUUGCUGACUGUUGUUCGGUAAUGAGAGGUGAUGAGAGGUGAUGAGAAGUGAUGAGAGGUGAUGAGAGGUGAUGAGAAGUGAUGAGGGGUGAUGAGAGGUGAUGAGAAGUGAUCAGAGGUGAUGAGAGGUGAUGAGAAGUGAUGAGAGGUAAUGAGAGGUAAUGAGAGGUGAUGAGAAGUAAUGAGAGUUAAUGAGAGGUAAUGAGAGGUAAUGAGAAGUGAUGAGAGGUAAUGAGAGGUAAUGAGAGGUAAUGAGAGGUGAUGAGAGGUAAUGAGAGGUAAUGAGAGGUAAUGAGAAGUUAUGAGAAGUGAUGAGAGGUAAUGAGAGGUAAUGAGAGGUGAUGAGAAGUGAUGAGAGAUAAUGAGAGGUAAUGAGAGGUAAUUAGAGGUAAUGAGAGGUAAUGAGAAGUGAUGAGAGGUAAUGAGAAGUGAUGAGAGGUGAUGAGAGGUAAUGAGAAGUGAUGAGAAGUGAUGAGAAGUGAUGAGAGGUAAUGAGAGGUAAUUAGAGGUAAUGAGAGGUAAUGAGAAGUGAUGAGAGGUAAUGAGAAGUGAUGAGAGGUGAUGAGAAGUGAUGAGAGGUGAUGAGAAGUGAUGAGAGGUGAUGAGAGGUGAUGAGAGGUAACGAGAGGUAAUGAGAGAUGAUGAGAAGUGAUGAGAGGUAAUGAGAGGUAAUGAGGGGUGAUGAGAGGUAAUGAGAGGUGAUGAGAAGUGAUGCGAGGUAAUGAGAUGUAAUGAGAGGUAAUGAGAAGUGAUGAGAGGUAACGAGAGGUAAUGAGAAGUGAUGAGAGGUGAUGAGAGGUAAUGAGAGGUAAUGAGAGGUAAUGAAAAGUGAUGAGAGGUAAUGAGAGGUAAUGAGAGGUAAUGAGAAGUGAUGAGAGGUAAUGAGAGGUGAUAUUAUUUAUUUUUUAUUUCACCUUUAUUUAACCAGGUAGGCAAGUUGAGAACAAGUUUUAAUUUACAAUUGCGACCUGGCCAAGAUAAAGCAAAGCAGUUCAACACAUACAACAACACAGAGUUACACAUGGAGUAAAACAAACAUACAGUCAAUAAAACAGUAGAAAAAAUAAGUCUAUAUACAAUGUGAGCAAAUGAGGUGAGAUAAGGGAGGUAAAGGCCAAAAAAGGCCAUGGUGGCAAAGUAAAUACAAUAUAGCAAGUAAAACACUGGAAUGGUAGAUUUGCAGUGGAAGAAAGUGCAAAUUAGAAAUAUAAAUAAUGGGGUGCAAAGGAGCAUAAUAAAUAAAUAAAUACAGUAGGGGAAGGGGUAGUUGUUUGGGCUAAAUUAUAGAUGGGCUAUGUACAGGUGCAGUGAUCUGUGAGCUGCUCUGACAGCUGGUGCUUAAAGCUAGUGAGGGAGAUAAGUGUCUCCAGUUUCAGGGAAUAGGG